rnacentral:rRNA from 1 species
AGAGUUUGAUCAUGGCUCAGGACGAACGCUGGCGGCGUGCUUAACACAUGCAAGUCGAGGGAGUCCAGACCUUCGGGUCUGAGGCGACCGGCGGACGGGUGAGUAACACGUAAGUGAUCUAUCCUCAUGCGGGGGACAACCCGGGGAAACCCGAGCUAAUACCGCAUGGUCGGACCGGCUGCAUGGCCGGACCGGGAAAGGUGGCCUCUUCUUGAAAGCUACCGCGUGGGGAGGAGCUUGCGGGCUAUCAGCUAGUUGGUGAGGUAACGGCUCACCAAGGCAACGACGGCUAGGGGGUCUGAGAGGACGACCCCCCACAUUGGGACUGAGACACGGCCCAGACUCCUACGGGAGGCAGCAGUGGGGAAUAUUGGGCAAUGGCCGAAAGGCUGACCCAGCGACGCCGCGUGUGGGAGGAAGCCCUUCGGGGUGUAAACCACUGUCGGGGGGGACGAAAGCGCGGGCGGAAAAUACCCGCCCGCAGUGACGGUACCCCUAGAGGAAGCACCGGCUAACUCUGUGCCAGCAGCCGCGGUAAUACAGAGGGUGCGAGCGUUGUUCGGAAUCACUGGGCGUAAAGCGCGCGCAGGCGGGCGUGUAAGUCAGAAGUGAAAUUCCGGGGCUCAACCCCGGAGCUGCUCCUGAUACUGCAGGUCUGGAGACCGGUAGAGGCUGGUGGAAUUCCCGGUGUAGCGGUGGAAUGCGUAGAGAUCGGGAAGAACACCCGUGGCGAAGGCGGCCAGCUGGGCCGGUUCUGACGCUGAGGCGCGAAAGCGUGGGGAGCAAACAGGAUUAGAUACCCCGGUAGUCC